rnacentral:rRNA from 1 species
UACGGGGGGGGCAAGCGUUGUUCGGAAUUACUGGGCGUAAAGGGUUCGUAGGUGGCCAACUAAGUCAGACGUGAAAUCCCUCAGCUUAACUGGGGAACUGCGUCUGAUACUGAUUGGCUUGAGUGCAGGAGAGGAACGCGGAAUUCCAGGUGUAGCGGUGAAAUGCGUAGAUAUCUGGAGGAACACCGGUGGCGAAGGCGGCGUUCUGGACUGCAACUGACACUGAGAGACGAAAGCCAGGGGAGCAAACGGG